rnacentral:rRNA from 1 species
UACGUAGGGUCCGAGCGUUGUCCGGAAUUACUGGGCGUAAAGAGCUCGUAGGUGGUUUGUCGCGUUGUUCGUGAAAACUCACAGCUCAACUGUGGGCGUGCGGGCGAUACGGGCAGACUAGAGUACUGCAGGGGAGACUGGAAUUCCUGGUGUAGCGGUGGAAUGCGCAGAUAUCAGGAGGAACACCGGUGGCGAAGGCGGGUCUCUGGGCAGUAACUGACGCUGAGGUGCGAAAGCGUGGGGAGCAAACAGG